UUCGUUUCUCUAAAAUAAAACAUAGGAUUUACAUCUUUAAACUUAUAAAGUUAAUAUAAUUAAAACUACAACAAUAUAUAAUCACUUUGACCACAAAAUACUUGAAAAGUAGAUUAUGCUAAAAAUGCUAUUGGUUUAAGGUGAAGAGGUUCUUUCUUUGAGACAACAAGUCCAAAUACCUCAUUCAUAUCUAUAUCUUGUUUACCUAAAUUUGUUUCAUUUGGUAGCUUCCAAUUGAACCAAUAAAGAAGGGUAGCAAGUACAUGUUGAACAGUAGUUACUCCAAAAUUCAUUCCAGGACACCCCCUUCUCCCAAAACCAAAAGGGAUAAACUGAAAAUCUUGACCUAUAAAAUCAACUAUGCUGUGUUCAAAUCUCUCUGGCAUGAACUCUUCAGGGUUGUCCCAAUUUUUAGGGUCUCUUUGUAUUGCCCAUGAAUUUACAUAUACCAUUGUUUUUUCAGGAAUAUCAUAUCCAUUUAGAUUCACACUAGACAUUGUUUCUCUAGGAGCCAUGAGAGGAGUAGCUGGAUGUAACCUUAGACUUUCUUUCACUACACAUUUUAAAUAGUGCAUUUGGUUGAUGUCAUUUUCUUCAACUUUUGAUUUAUUUCCAACAACUCUUCUUACUUCUUCUUGUAUUUUUUUCAUUACGGUUGGAUGUCUCAUUAGCUCUGAAAUUGUCCAGUCUAAUGUUGUUGAGGUUGUGUCAGUUGCUCCAAUAAACAUGUCCUAAAUAAUUACUUUCUUUUAUUAAAAACUUGUUAAUGCAUGAUUUGCACCAAUAUUAUUCAAAAAUAAAAAAGAAAAAAAUAAUAAUAUAUAUAUAGGGUUUUGCUAGAAUAUACCCACUAUUAUCUAUAAAAAGAGCGUGAAUCACAUUACAUAAUGUACCCUUGGAAUCGGAUUAAUAACGCUAUCAAUAGUGAUUUUGAAGCCAAUUAAGAGCUUUAUGACCUAUUCAGCCUAUUCUUAAUAAUAUGGGUUUAGUUUCAAUAAUAUGAUAGUUCAUUUGAUUCAAAUCUAACAAAUUAAUUGAACCUAACAAGUCGAAGUGAACUGCUCGUGAACUUUAAAUGAGCCGAACUCGAGUUGGAAAAAAGUUUGUGUUGAACUCGAGCCGAGUUUCGAGCCGAACCAAUUCUUAUCGAGUCGAAUCAAGCUCAGACAUAUUCGACUCGAUUCAACUCAUUUCCAACCACUAAUUGGUUUGAUCCUAAUUGUGCAUGUACUUUAUUUGUAUUUGAUUUAAUUGGCUCUCUCUCUCUUUUGCAUUUUUUAUUUAUCUAUUUGUUGUCUGGUUCAUGGAAGUGCUAGAAGUCAAUGUUGGUUUUAGGUAUAGUGAACUCUUUUUCUUCUUUGGAUCAAGGUGUGUGGUUAUCUUGAUUCUUAGUCUUAUCUCUCAAGUUUCACAAGCAUGGUGACUUUGUUUAUUCAUUAAUUUGAGGGUCCCUAGGACAUGACAUGUUUUUUAUGAUUCGGAUCAUUUCCAAUUUUUCUUCAUGUUUUAUCUUAUUUUUCUUAAUUCAAGGGUUGUUUUUCUCUUCUUUUUAUUGUUUGUAAUUUACCAACCCUUAGAUUAAGAAAAAGGAACGAAAACAUGAGGGAAAAUUGGAGAUGAUCUAAAUCCGUCUUUUUCGGUCUAUCGAUGAGAAUUGUUCAUUACUAUAGUAAAGACAAUAGGUAGCUAGUCUUAGGUAAUAAAAUAUAGUAAGAGAAAUAUCAAAAAAUUCUAUUUGAUAUUUUCUCAUUCAAGCACAAUUAAUUAGUUAUAAGAAUGAGUUAGACUCAACUCUCAAUUUUAAGAUGGUCAAAGCAUUUUCACGAUCCGUUAGACUGCCUGCUAUCAAGUUUUCGCAAUCGGGCCACCCACCGUUUACGAGAUGACCGGAAUGUGUGGUUAUAAGUGAGAACAAUCCUCACCUUACAAAUCGGUUUUGUAGGGUUGAGUUAGACUCAACUCUCGAUUGUAUCUAUGAUAGUUUGUGUUUAUAGUAAGGGAGUGAAAGUGUAAAUGAAACAAAAAGAAAGGGAUAAAAGAGAGAAAACCAUUAGAAGUGCUUUGAUAUCAUUAUUGGAGAACUCAAAGCCAAGCAUGCCAUCAUCUUGGAGUUGAAGUAGAAUAUCCACAAACCCUUUUUUCUUGAUUUGAUUAUCUUCCAUCUUUUUCAAAGCCAAACGCUCUUCAAUCACUUGAUCAAAGAAACGAUCAAAUGCUUGAAAAGUAUCCUUCAUUUCUCCAAUUUUUCCACUAAGAACAUCAAUCCAACUCAAAGAAGGGAAGUAAUCUCCAACAACAAAAGUUGCAAGAUACAUCAUAACUUUCCUUGCUAACACUUUCAAAUUGCCAUCACUAGUUUCUUCAUACUUCCUUCCAAGAGCACAUAUACAAACAAAAUUAUUUAUUGUUGAAAUAAGCAUCUCACUUAGAUUCACACAUGCAUCAUUCAAGCUAGCUUCUCUUAGCUUAUUCACCAACUCUUCAACUUCUUCUUCUCUAAUGGGAUAAGAUGAUUGAACACUUUUCAUGUUUAAUAAUUCUCCAACACAUAAUUUUCUUUUUUGUUUCCAAUUUUUUCCAUAAAGUGCAAAACCAACAUCAUUACAUCCAUACAAUAAGAUUUUUUGAGCUAUAUGUUGGGGUCGGUUGGAAAAAACUUUAUCAUAUUUUUUCAUGAUUUCCAUGGCUACAUCUGCUGAUGUAACCACUAGAGUUGGAGUUGGUUUUUGUCCCAAUUGUAACAACAUCAUGUUGCCAUAUUUGAGUGAUAGGUCUCGAAGAGAACGGUGUGGAAGUGUGCCUAGUUGAUGAAGGUUACCAAUGAUAGGUAGUUUAGGUGGAAAUGGAAGUUGAUUAGUUUUGGAUUUAGAUUUGGGUUUUCUAAUUGCAAAGUUAAACACAAUCAACACACUUACAAGGAAAAAGAGAGAUAGAUAUAAGGGAGAACAAAAAGCUCCUAUAAUUUGUUCAUGUGACCAUUUUUUGAGAGCCAUUGGCUUUUUUAAACAUAUGUUGCACUUAGAGUUAGGCAUACGAUAUAUAUAGAACAUAUGAUCCCCAUCAACAACUCAUUGGUAAGUUGAGAGACAUGAAAGGAAUCCAAGUAUAGAGUUUAAAUUUUAAAAACUACCAUAAUUUACUAACAUAAUACUACCUCCGACUCAUUUUAAGUGACACAGUUUGAUCAUGUGCACUAUUUACAUAUUUUAUUUUGACUUUAUUUUUCUAUUUAUAAAUAAUAAAUAUAAGCAUAUAAGAUAUUGUUAGAUUUAUUUUGAUAAAUAUUUUAAAAAUAUUAACUUUUUAUAAUUAUUACUAAUAAAUAAUUAAAAAUAUUAAUGGUCAAAAAAUUAUGCAUUAACAUACGUGAAACAAUCAAUUGAAUCAUUUAAUAUGAAACAUGGGAUGUAAUAUUUAUCCAUUUAAAAUGUAUUAGAUUAAGUUACUCCCAGAGUAACUCUUAGUCGAAUUACUUCGCUUAAUAAUUGGUUAUAAAUAUUUAUUUUGUUUAUGUUUUUUUUAAUGGAUUUUUUUAAAAAGUUUUGUAGUUUUAAAAUUUUAUUAAAAUGUGCGGAGUUGGCUACUCAAUAAACUUUUUUAAUCGAAGGUUGAAUUGAUAAAAUUAAAUUUUUAUAAUGAGUUUCUAAACGUAAUAAUUCAUCCAGCUGUUACUUUUGCAUUAACUCGAAUACAUAUAUCUAAGUGUAGUUCAGUUGAUAGUUAAAGUCGGAGUUUGAAACUAUGAAUUUUUCACCGUUGGAACAAAAUUGAGAUUUAUAAAUUCCCCAAUCAUUAUUAAAGGUUUUGAUGAUAACAAAGUAUUAAAUGUACAAUUGGAGGUACUAAAAUUUAUUUUCAAGUAUGCAGAAUUAUUUUGAAGAUAAGCUCUGAAGACAUGUCAGAAGAUGACCAUUCAAAAGUUCUGAAGACUCAGAGGAUAUCAACGUUUAGAAGAUGUAACAAUGUCAGUUAAUUCUCUCUCUACCAUUCAUUUAUACAUGGGGAUAUUUUUAUUAACAAAAUAAUUUAGCCGUUUAAUUAUCGUAUCGUAGAAGGAUAACACACUAAUCAAAUUCUAUUCACACACUCCACAUCCACUCAGUCAAAUUAAUUAGCAACAAUUAGCAACAUUAUUGGUAUUAGUAUAUUCACAUAUGUAGCUUCCUUCAAUUCUUGGGCCAGUUUAAAUGGUUCUCCUCGGCUUGAAUUGCAUCUUUAUAUUUGAUUUAGAAUGUAUUAUUUUCUAGGUGGGGUUUAUUCAUUUAAUUUUAAGAGUUUAAUAUUUUUGUGACCAUAUUAGAAGAAAGCCCCACCAUUUUUUUUUUCAAUUGUAAAAUUAUUGGACUUUUGGCCAUUUUAUAUGUUCUGUGGGGUUGAAGAGAUAAGACUCUGUUCCAUUUUGUAUAAUGAACCAAAUUUGAAUGAUGUAUAACAUGGAGGCUUUGUCUAAAUCACAUCAAGAUGUCAAAGUUUACUCAAUUCUUUUUUUUUUUUUUUAAUUUAUUUAUUUAUUUUUGUUUUUGUUUUCAUCACAAUAUCCGGUUCACUGGAUCGUUUAAUCUGAUAGGGGAGUCAGUUCUGGCAUUAAGUAAUUUUAGCCCUCUUUCGAUCGCAGUUGUGAAGAAUCGAAUUGUGAUGGUCCUCCAUACCAAAUCUAGCGUCAAUCAUCACUGGAUCAACUAAUGAUUGGUUUGGGGUGGAAUGAGUAGCUCAAUUAAACUAGUUGAGCUAAGGGUUAAGGAGUUGGAGGUUCAAGGUUCAAGUCCUGACAAGGAGAAAAAACUAACAUAACAUUGUAAUAUACUAACUACUAACAAUUUGUCGAGUUAAAAAUAUGUUGAAACAACAAUAUUGAUCAAUGAGGGAUUGAAGAAAUUACAUUUUGAUUACAGUGUUUUUAGUUUUUUCGAUAAUAGAUGAUAAUGAUAAAAUACUAUCAUAUCUUGUUUUAAUUUUUUUUUAACGAAAUAAGUUGCUCAAAUUAGAUUUACAUGUAUAUAUUUUGAUUUUUGAUUUAUAUGUUUUAUAAAUAUAUAGCGGUGUCCGUAUCCUAUAUUAUACAUUAGCGAUGUCGCGGUGUCCGACUCGGAGUCUGUCUUUGAUAUAGGUCCGAAUGAAUUUUAAAAUAUUGAUUUGAAAAAAGUCGUUGCCUAAGUAUAUUAAUUUGGGCCACUUAAUUAUACCUAACAUUUUCCAAUUUUGAAGGUUAAAAUACAAUUGAAGUAAACAGCUACCUCUAGAUUAUUUUGUUUCAUCCUUCCUUAAAAAAAAAAGAAAGAUUAUUUUGUUUCGACUAACUACUGAAGCAUAGCAUAUAUACAUGUAACAACAACACAUGUAGUAACAAGUAUAAACAUGUAACAUCAACGUAUUGUCCCUAAUUUAUUACAUUUUCCGUCUUGUUUAUAAAUAAAUAAAUAUUAUUAUUUUUUCAAAUUUAUUGUAUAAUUAAUGUAAGAAGAUUUUUCUCAAAAUGUUAAAUUACUAUUUUUUCCCAUUCAAAAAACUAAUUUAUCUCUUACAAUAAAUAUGAAUAUAAUUUUUUUUGGUCAUAAUACGAAUAUAAAAUAAUUUAAGUCAUCUCAAACGUUAGUUGGUUCAGUGGUGAUUGACGCUGAACUUGGUAGAGAGGACAACGGUUCGAUCUUCCGCAACUGUAUUUGGGAGGGGACUGGAACCAAUUGAUGCCAGAACUCGUCCCGAACUCUGGACUACUAAGACCCCCUUCCUCUAGGAACCAAAGGGUGAAAAUAAAAAAAAAUAAACUAAGUCAUAGUUACGUACAAGACUACCCUUAAUUAAGUCAUCUCAUAAAAAAUAAUUUUAUCUUUAUGAGAAACGUCCGCAAUAACAUCUUCUGAUGCAAUAAAAUAANNNNNNNNNNNNNNNNNNNNNNNNNNNNNNNNNNNNNNNNNNNNNNNNNNNNNNNNNNNNNNNNNNNNNNNCUAAAGUUUUACCUAACAAAAAAAAAAAAAAACUAAAGUCAUUAAAAAUUACAGCGCUCCGACACUUAGGAAUUGGUGGUAAUUAAAAUAAAGAAAAAAAUAAUUGUAAUGAAAUUGAGUUCAAGUAACACUUUUCUCGGAUUUUAUAUAUUAUAUAAUGGAAUUUUAAAUUAUCGGAAUCACCUUCUUCUAAAAUUCAGAGGAUUAAUAUAAAAAGAAAAUGAUGUUGAUCCACUUUCUUGCAGGAUCGGCCUAAAACGAAUUUUGAAAAGAGGAAUUUAUAUAUUCUAAUAAUAAUACAUUUGUUAAAACAAUGGGAAUGAAUAAUGUUAUCUAUUUCAGGAUACAAAUUUUAUUGAGAAUUAUUUAGUUUAGUUAAUACAUUAUCAUGUUAUCGAUCUUAGAGCAUAUUAAGUUUAUAUCUUGGUUUUGGUUUAUAGGGAGAGCCGGUUGUAAUCUUUCUUUUGUUUAUUUUAAUUGGUGUAGUAAUCCCUUAAAUUGUUUACAAUGUUGUUAAGGCUUACUUAUUUUGAAUUGUAAGGGUUUAAGUACUCCUUGUACUUCUUAUAAUUCAUUUUUUGCUUAUAAAAAAAAAUGUUAUCGAUCUAUUCUUGAUAAACUUUGGAAUAAUUCAAUAUUCAAGCAUCGCAUAUGGAUAGUACAAAAAGUCUUUUAGAGAAUAGAGAUAUUUUUGUUGGGUGGAUCCCUCCUCAGUCCUCAGGUGGGAACCACAGAUAAAAGAAAAGAAAAAAAAUAUAAAAGAAAAUAAACAAAAAAAAAAAGAAGGUUUGUUUUAGAGCUGUCAAAAUGGGCUAGCCUGAAUGGACCGACCCGUCAAGCCCAAUUUUUUUUCCAGGCUUGGGCCUUGAAAAUCCUAGUCCAUAUUGUUUUCGGGUUUUUUAGCCCGCCCUAUAAAGUCCGUUUAAAAUAUGGGCUAGUCCGAAUGGGCCACAGGCGGCCCGCAAAUCCAAAUAAAUUAUAAUAAUUUUUUUUUCAAAAUAAAUACUAUAAAUAAUUUGUUUUGGAUGAUUUGAACUUAUUUUGUAUUGUAAGAGUUUCUUUGGCCGCUCUACGAGUGUCUCAAAUAUAAUCCGCUACUUAAAGUAGCAGACGGUGUUUUUUUCUUCAAAUUUCUCAUUUUUAUUACUUAAGUAGCGGAUGAGUAAAAAUGGGGCACGCGAGAAACUCGUAGGUAGCGGAUGAGUAAAAUAGAGCGCGUGAGAAACUCGUAGGUAGCGGAUGAGUAAAAAUAGGGCGUGCGAGAAACUCUUAAGUAGUGUAUGAGUAACAAUAGGGCGCGCGGGAAACUCUUAGGUAGGGGAUGAGUAAAAAUAGGGCGCACGAGAAACUAAUAAGUAGCGGGUGAGUUAACAAAGGGCGUGCGAGAAACUCAUAGAUAGCGGAUGAGUAAAAAUAGAGCGCGCGAGAAACUCGUAAGUAGCGGAUGUAAAAAUAGGGCGCGCGAGAAACUCUUAGAUAGCGGAUGAGUAAAAAUAGGGCGCACGAAAAACUCAAAGUAGCGGAUGAGUAAAAAUAGAGCGUGCAAAAAACCCGUAGGUAGCGGAUGAGUAAAAAUAGGGCGCGCGAGAAACUUGUAAGUAGCGGAUGAGUAAAAAUAGGGCGCGCGAGAAUUUUUUAUCUUAUAUAGUAUAUGUAUAAUAUAAGACUAAUGAUUAACAUGGCGAUGUAGUUAAUUUGAAUGUCCAAUUUUUGUAUGCACAACACAACGUAGUAGUAGUUUUUUAGUUAUUUAUAAGGUUGAGUUUGAACACUAAAAGUAAAAAAAAAAACCGGGACGGCCCGAAAGGCCCGAAAUAAUGGAGUUAUUUUUGUGUAUUUUUAGUCCUAAAAAAUUUAGUAGGAGCGAGCUAUUAUGGUAUCAAGAUUCACCAUCAAGAGAGGGAGAAGAGCCUUGACUUUUUGUUAGGCCGGUCUCGUCAUUCAUGCAAUUCCCCGUCAAUUGUUCACGCGAGCAUCAACACUUUUAGAUUAGAUUAGAGACAACAAUUGACUUCCCCUUUUUGUGGUCCCUCGAAUAUUCUACAGUCUUGUUACCUUUCACAGAAUUCACAAAAAGCCUCAAUAGCCUAUCCUCUUUCUAGUUUGAGGAUGUAUGUAAAAAUCGGUCGUUCUUGUCUGUUCUGUCUUUAUCUGAGGGCUAUCCCAAGUAGUUUAGUGGUUAGAAUUCUUCCUUUUAAAGGUGGAUAAAUAGAAGUACUAGAAUUUGAACCUUGGCGCCUGCAAUAAUUUACAAUGUCGCUGACAAUUGAGCUAUGCUCAUUGAGACAAGCUAUUGGCGUUCAUUGUAAUAAUGCUAUCCCUAAUUGUAUUGAACAAGCUAUUGCUAAUGAUAUUUGUUUCUCUAAAAUAAACAUAGGAAUUACACCUUUGAACUUAUAAUAAAGUAUUUUUUUUUUCUGAAUGUAACUUAUAAUAAAGUAAAUACAAUUAAAAUUACAGCAAUAUAUAAUCACUUUAACCACAAAAUAGUUGGGAAGUAGAUUAAACAUAAAAUGCUAUUGGUUUAAGGUGAAGAGGUUCUUUCUUUGUGACAACAAGUCCAAAUACCUCGUUCAUAUCUAUAUCUUGCUGACCAAAGUUUGUUUCAGUUGGUAGCUUCCAAUUGAACCAAUAAAGAAGGGUAGCAAGUACAUGUUCAACAGUAGUUACUCCAAAAUUCAUUCCAGGACACCCCCUUCUCCCAAAACCAAAAGGGAUAAACUGAAAAUCUUGACCUAUAAAAUCAACUAUGCUGUGUUCAAAUCUCUCUGGCAUGAACUCUUCAGGGUUCUCCCAAUUU
rnacentral:lncRNA from 1 species